rnacentral:rRNA from 1 species
CCUACGGGAGGCAGCAGUGAGGAAUAUUGGUCAAUGGACGAGAGUCUGAACCAGCCAAGUAGCGUGAAGGAUGACUGCCCUAUGGGGUGUAAACUGCUGUUAUAAAGGAAUAAAACGAGGCACGUGUGCCUUUUUGCAUGUACUUUAUGAAUAAGGAUCGGCUAACUCCGUGCCAGCAGCCGCGGUAAUACGGAGGAUCCGAGCGUUAUCCGGCUUUAUUGGGUUUAAAGGGUGCGUAGAUGGGUUGUUAGGUCAGUUGUGAAAGUUUGCGGCUCAACCGUAAAAUUGCAAUUGAUACUGGCAGUCUUGAGUACAGUUGAGGUAGGCGGAAUUCGUGGUGUAGCGGUGAAAUGCUUAGAUAUCACGAAGAACCCCGAUUGCGAAGGCAGCUUACUAAACUGUGACUGACAUUGAUGCUCGAAAGUGUGGGGAGCAAACAGGAUUAGAUACCCGAGUAGUC